GACGAACGCUGGCGGCGUGCUUAACACAUGCAAGUCGAACGGAAAGGCCCUGCUUGCAGGGGACUCGAGUGGCGAACGGGUGAGUAACACGUGGGUGAUCUGCCCUGCACUUCGGGAUAAGCCUGGGAAACAGGGUCUAAUACCGGAUAGGAGACAGCUUUAGUGUGAUGGUUGGAAAGUUUUUUCGGUGUAGGAUGAGCUCGCGGCCUAUCAGCUGGUUGGUGGGGUAAUGGCCUACCAAGGCGGGGACGGGUAGCCGGCCUGGGGGGGUGGACGGCCACCCUGGGACUGAGAUACGGCCCCGGCUCCGACGGGAGGCAGAAGGGGGGAAUAUUGAACAAUGGGCGCAGGCCUGAUGCAGAGACGCCGCGUGGGGGAUGACGGCCUUCGGGUUGUAAACUCCUUUCGCUAGGGACGAAGCUUUUUGUGACGGUACCUAGAUAAGAAGCACCGGCUAACUACGUG
rnacentral:rRNA from 1 species